GUUUAAGACCGAAUUUUCCAAUUUAAGAAGUUAAUUAUGAAAAAAAUCUGGAGAGGACUGUGAAGGACUGUCUACAAAGAGAAUACUAAUAGUAUUUCAAUUAACUUUUCUCGGGCUCUGAAGAAGUUGUGAAAGAGUGUCUCGCGUGCGCCUGACAACCGUGGCCAAGAUAUCAUUUCCAAUUUUAUACCCGUGAUUCAAUAAAGUCUCAACACCAUCGGCAACCCUUAUAUAAAUAGCUCCCUCGCAACCAGCGGCGCGCCGAUAUCGCCGAAUAUUGCUCUCAAAAAUCAUUUUUAAUGCACAACUUUAACGAAAAUUUUGCUGAAUUGAGGCGACCAAAAAAUAUACACUUCUCCAAGCUUCUCCAAUCACCGUCUGGCAAUUUGUCAAUCAUUAAUCCAUCUCUUGUCAUCUGUUGCAACAAAGAUUAAACACACGUUAAUAGCCUCGUCGGGCACUCGAGACCGCAGAAGAAGCCUGUUAGUAGUGAAAAAAACGUAAUAAAAAUAACAGGUGGUAACUGCGUGACAAUAUUUAGUUACUUGAACGGUCGCCUAAUGGCUUGGUCAACAAUAGGUGUUGCCCCUUUUACUAGCCGUCAAAAAUCGGCUUUUUUAUUUUUUCAACAAUUUGUUUAAUUUUGUAACCGUUUCUAAAACGUGACAGAUGGUUCGACUCCAAUUUAAAUAUAUUCAGAAAUGAACACGUCCGACACUUUCCUGGGUUCUCACUCCAGUACCAACCAGCUGAAAGGACUCAACACCGCCAAGGAGAAGAUCCUGAUGGGUCUCCUGAUCGCCAACAUGCUCCUCCUCAUCUUUUUGAUAUUUGUGAUGAACUUGCUUUCCCACAACUGUUAAUUUAUUUCCAAUAAAUACGUUUCUGCUGUUAGA